GACGUAGGGGGCGAGCGUUGUUCGGAAUUAUUGGGCGUAAAGAGCUUGUAGGCGGGAAAGUAAGUCUUUGAAUAAAGGCUAAGGCUCAACUUUAGUAAGUUCGGAGAUACUGCUUUUCUUGAGAGCAGGAGAGGGGAGUGGAAUUCCUAGUGUAGCGGUGAAAUGCGUAGAUAUUAGGAGGGACACCAGUGGCGAAGGCGGCUCUCUGGCCUGUUUCUGACGCUGAGGAGCGAAAGCUGGGGGAGCGAACGGGAUUAGAUACCUUGUAGU
rnacentral:rRNA from 1 species